rnacentral:rRNA from 1 species
UAUUGGAUCCAGACUUUGAUUCUGGCUCAGGAUGAACGCUAGCUACAGGCUUAACACAUGCAAGUCGAGGGGAAACGAUAUUGGAAGCUUGCUUCCGAUAGGCGUCGACCGGCGCACGGGUGAGUAACGCGUAUCCAACCUGCCCAUCACUUGGGGAUAACCUUGCGAAAGUAAGACUAAUACCCAAUGACGUCUCUAGAAGACAUCUGAAGGAGAUUAAAGAUUUAUCGGUGAUGGAUGGGGAUGCGUCUGAUUAGCUUGUUGGCGGGGUAACGGCCCACCAAGGCGACGAUCAGUAGGGGUUCUGAGAGGAAGGUCCCCCACAUUGGAACUGAGACACGGUCCAAACCCCUACGUGAGGCAGCAGUGAGGAAUAUUGGUCAAUGGACGAGAGUCUGAACCAGCCAAGUAGCGUGCAGGAUGACGGCCCUAUGGGUUGUAAACUGCUUUUAUAAGGGAAUAAAGUGAGCUACGUGUAGCUUUUUGCAUGUACCUUAUGGAUAAGGACCGGCUAAUUCCGUGCCAGCAGCCGCGGUAAUACGGAAGGUCCGGGCGUUAUCCGGAUUUAUUGGGUUUAAAGGGAGCGUAGGCCGGAGAUUAAGCGUGUUGUGAAAUGUAGAUGCUCAACAUCUGCACUGCAGCGCGAACUGGUUUCCUUGAGUACGCACAAAGUGGGCGGAAUUCGUGGUGUAGCGGUGAAAUGCUUAGAUAUCACGAAGAACUCCGAUUGCGAAGGCAGCUCACUGGAGCGCAACUGACGCUGAAGCUCGAAAGUGCGGGUAUCGAACAGGAUUAGAUACCCUGGUAGUCCGCACGGUAAACGAUGGAUGCCCGCUGUUGGUCUGAAUAGGUCAGCGGCCAAGCGAAAGCAUUAAGCAUCCCACCUGGGGAGUACGCCGGCAACGGUGCAACUCAAAUGAAUUGACGGA